GGAUGCGUGGAUGAUGUUGGGAUGCGAGAGGACGCUACGAUGGAGACGAUGGAUGCGUGGAUGAUGUUGUUGCAGAGAGACGAUGGAGCUCAUCCUGAGUGGUGAUGCACCAUGUUUAAUCUCUGACGAUGGCAGUGGAAUGGAUAGCGGCCCAAAUUUUGCAAUUUUGGAUUAGGGUUUUUGAAUUUGGGUUUUUGUUUGAUCUGAGUUUGGGUUCCUUUAUGAGUUGAAAUCCCGGC
rnacentral:lncRNA from 1 species